rnacentral:rRNA from 1 species
UGUAAGCGUAUACCAAAGUUGUUGCAGUUAAAACGCUCGUAGUCGGAAUUUGGCAGUUCCGGAUGUGUGCACGUCGUGUGCGCACUUCGCGGGGAUUGCUUUUGUGGUCUUGCGUAGGAUGAGGCACUUUUAUUAGUGAACGUCCUCACGCAACCACUUUUUACUGUGAGAAAAUCAGAGUGCUCAAAGCAGGCAUUUGCCGUGAAUGUAUUAGCAUGGAAUAAUAGAAUGGGACUUGGUUCUAUUUUGUUGGUUUGUUGGGACUGAGUAAUGAUUAAGAGGGACAGUUGGGGGCAUUUGUAUUUCGGUGCUAGAGGUGAAAUUCUUAGAUUACCGAAAGACAAACUGCUGCGAAAGCGUCUGCCAAGGAUGUUUUCAUUGA